rnacentral:rRNA from 1 species
CCAGACUCCUACGGGAGGCAGCAGUGAGGAAUAUUGGUCAAUGGCCGAGAGGCUGAACCAGCCAAGUCGCGUGAGGGAAGACGGCCCUACGGGUUGUAAACCUCUUUUGUCAGGGAGCAAAGGGCGCCACGUGUGGCGUUUUGCGAGUACCUGAAGAAAAAGCAUCGGCUAACUCCGUGCCAGCAGCCGCGGUAAUACGGAGGAUGCGAGCGUUAUCCGGAUUUAUUGGGUUUAAAGGGUGCGCAGGCGGAAUGUCAAGUCAGCGGUAAAAUUUCGGGGCUCAACCCCGUCGUGCCGUUGAAACUGGCGUUCUUGAGUGAGCGAGAAGUAUGCGGAAUGCGUGGUGUAGCGGUGAAAUGCAUAGAUAUCACGCAGAACUCCGAUUGCGAAGGCAGCGUACCGGCGCCCAACUGACGCUGAAGCACGAAGGCGUGGGUAUCGAACAGGAUUAGAUACCCGUGUAA